rnacentral:rRNA from 1 species
UACGAAGGGCGCAAGCGUUGCUCGGAAUUAUUGGGCGUAAAGCGCACGUAGGCGGGUUCGUAAGUCGAUUGUGAAAUCCCUGGGCUUAACCUGGGAACUGCAGUCGAUACUGCGAGUCUUGAGUGCUCCAGAGGAUGGCGGAAUUCCUGAUGUAGAAGUGAAAUUCGUAGAUAUCAGGAGGAACACCGGAGGCGAAGGCGGCUAUCUGGGGGAGACACUGACGCUGAGGUGCGAAAGCGUGGGGAUCAAACAGG